GACGAACGCUGGCGGCGUGCCUAAUACAUGCAAGUCGAGCGGACAGAUAAGGAGCUUGCUCCUUUGAAGUCAGCGGCGGACGGGUGAGUAACACGUGGGCGACCUGCCUAUAAGACUGGGAUAACUCCGGGAAACCGGGGCUAAUACCGGAUAGAUUCUUUCCUCUCAUGAGGAAAGAAGGAAAGACGGUUUCGGCUGUCACUUAUAGAUGGGCCCGCGGCGCAUUAGCUAGUUGGUAAGGUAACGGCUUACCAAGGCGACGAUGCGUAGCCGACCUGAGAGGGUGAUCGGCCACACUGGGACUGAGACACGGCCCAGACUCCUACGGGAGGCAGCAGUAGGGAAUCUUCCGCAAUGGACGAAAGUCUGACGGAGCAACGCCGCGUGAACGAAGAAGGCCUUCGGGUCGUAAAGUUCUGUUGUUAGGGAAGAACAAGUACGAUAGUAACUGAUCGCACCUUGACGGUACCUAACCAGAAAGCCACGGCUAACUACGUGCCAGCCGCCGCGGUAAGAC
rnacentral:rRNA from 1 species